UCUUUGCACGAGGAAUUGAAGAGAAUCCGAAGCCAGACUCACACAGCUGAGAAGCCGGCGUCCUGCUCUCGAACUGGGAAAGACAUCGCUGCUUGAUCCUUACAAUACUGUGCAACUGCAAUGCAACAUGGCCCUGCUUCAGGUGAUCCGCGGGAGGGGCCUCCACGCCAGCGCGGGAAGGCUGCUGGGGCCUCCACACCUGCCUCAUCACGGCGGCGUGGCUAAGACAAUCCGGCUGGGAGCAUGACCUUGGCGUCUGUUCUGGGAGCACAGAUGAUAAGCUCUGGAAGCUGGCAGUGUGGAAAGCACUGGCAAGUUUGUUACUGUUAAAAUGUCAAAUACCAACGCUUUAUAUCGACACGAAGCGCUUAACACAGCUGGGCUUGGGGGGCAGUCAGGAGGAAGCGGGCCAUCCGUGGAGGAGGGGCCGUUCCUGCACUCCGGCAGGAUUCCUCUGAUGCAGGCCCUGAAGUCUGUACACGUGGUCCAGAUUUGUCCUUGUCUUUUCUUCACACUGAGUUCUCUAUAUUUAUUGAACAUCUUGUCCUUUUAAGCCAGAAGAGUGUAAACUGCGUCUCGGAUGUCUGUCUUUUGUCUCGAAGCCACGAUGGAUCACGGGUUUCCUCUGAAGCACGAGGGCUCCGGCGAGCAGAGGAUUCUUCCCGGAAGGCAUUCCUGCCCCGCUCCCCGGGGCACCCCGCAGUUGUGUACUACACCCUUGUUUAGUGUGCAUCCAUGCCCAUGUAGGUGACGUCUGUAACUUAGGUUUGAGAUGUGAGAAUAUGCGGCUGAAACUUUGAUCUGUGAGGGUGGGCCGUGGCCGUUGGCAGCACGCUGUGGACACCGUUCCUCAUGCUGCCGGGUGGGUUUUGCAGAGGCUUCCUUAGUGAUUGCACAUUUAACCGGCAGCAUCCAUUUUCAGAAUUGCCCGGCAUUCAUUUAUAUUUUGAAGCAUACAGGAAACUUCUCAUUUCGUCGUUUAGCCCCACCCAGGUCAGGUGAAAGGGCAGCUUUAAUGGUGGUUUUUAAGGACCACAUUAUCCGAGAGCACUGUGCGAGCCGAAUGGUUCAAUAACGAAUGGCUGAAUGAAAGUUCUGGGUGUAAAGAGUUAAAUAUGCCCUGGCUCUUUCUACCAAUGUCUGCUCCUGGUUGGAAAGAAACCAAAGAUUUAAGAUGGGCUGCUCUUCCAGACUGGCCGUGCCUGCCUGUGCCCAGCAGCCUGUGCAGCCGGCAGUGUGCCUGGUGUCACGCCAGGAGGCUGUGGCUGCUGUGGGCCCUCUGGAACUGUGCUCCUCACAAAGUUUCCCCAAAAGGUUCUUCUAAGCCUUUAUCGUCCCUGGUAAAUGUUUCCCGGCCGGGCGCGGUGGCUCACGCCUGUAAUCCCAGCACUUUGGGAGGCCGAGGCGGGUGGAUCACCUGAGGUCAGGAGUUUGAAACCAGCCUGCCCAACAUGGUGAAACCUCGUCUCUACUAAAAAUAUGAAACUUAGCCGGGCUUGUUGGCGCACGCCUGUAAUCCCGGCUACUAGGGACACUGAGGCAGGAGAAUCGCUUGAACCCAGGAGGUGGAGGUUGCGGUGAGCCAAGAUUGCGCCACUGCACUCCAGCCUGGGCAACAGAGGGAGACUCCGUCCCCCCUCCCCACACACACACAAAAAACAGUUUCCCAUACACUGGCCUGCUCCAAAACCCACUAACUAUUUUGGCAAAACAGUCCAGGCCAAAGAGGAAGCAUUUUACGUUCAAUAAGAAACCCAGCCAUUCCACAUGGCUGGUUCCUGAGUGGCUUUGGUGAUACUCGCCAGCCACCUGCUGACAUUCAGAAUCUCAGACCUCGGGACUGCUGUUGCGGUACCGUGCGUCUGACACCCGCCAGGAGCCCUUUGCUAUCUGCGCGCAGGAUGGGGGUGACUGCCCAGACAUUCCCGCUUGAUAGGGGCAGCCUUUCAGAUGCAGCAGACAUACAACACCUGUACUUUGGAGUUUUAAGGAAAAAAAAAUCAGAAGUGCUGGUUAGAUAGUGAAAACUUAGGAUAACUUAGAAAGGUUAGUUUUAGCUUCCUUUGUGGCUCCCUGGUGCAAAACAAUUAGCAGUUAUGCAAUGGACCUGAUUCUAGUUUAUUCUAAUUAAGAAGUGAGGCCGGGCGGAGCCUGCCUCUGAUGGCGGGGCUUGACUUCGUUCCUGAAUACAAUCUUGAGUAACUGGGAAAGUCUGAGUGAAAGGAUGGCCUCAUUCUCUUUCUAAUCUUGCUGGUUUCAAGAUUAGAAAAUGGCAUUAUUUGAUCUGAAAUGUUUGAGAAGUCACAAAUAAAGUUACUUGGGCAGA